AAGAACCCGGUGACGGGAGACUGUCACGCCGGGAUCUGUGGGAGCCGGAGGGCUAAAUCCCCUCCGGCCACCCGAC
rnacentral:ncRNA from 1 species